UACGAAGGGGGCUAGCGUUGCUCGGAAUUACUGGGCGUAAAGGGAGCGUAGGCGGACAUUUAAGUCAGGGGUGAAAUCCCGGGGCUCAACCUCGGAAUUGCCUUUGAUACUGGGUGUCUUGAGUAUGAGAGAGGUGUGUGGAACUCCGAGUGUAGAGGUGAAAUUCGUAGAUAUUCGGAAGAACACCAGUGGCGAAGGCGACAUACUGGCUCAUUACUGACGCUGAGGCUCGAAAGCGUGGGGAGCAAACAGG
rnacentral:rRNA from 1 species